AUCGCAAGACCUCGCGCGAUUGGAGCGGCCGAUAUCAGAUUAGGUAGUUGGUGAGGUAAAGGCUCACCAAGCCGACGAUCUGUAGCUGGUCUGAGAGGACGACCAGCCACACUGGGACUGAGACACGGCCCAGACUCCUACGGGAGGCAGCAGUGGGGAAUUUUUGGACAAUGGGCGCAAGCCUGAUCCAGCAAUGCCGCGUGCAGGAUGAAGGCCUUCGGGUUGUAAACUGCUUUUGUACGGAACGAAACGGUGAGCUCUAAUACAGUUUGCUAAUGACGGUACCGUAAGAAUAAGCACCGGCUAACUACGUG
rnacentral:rRNA from 1 species